AAAAAUCGACUGACGCCCACACAGCGAUGGACCAGAGGUAAAUGUCCACAAUAAAAAGCUCAAAUUAAAAGCCAUUUGUCAGCUGAGCCUGGACCAGGACCUGGACAGUGCGUGAGAAAGAAGCGCUAAUGACUCUUAGCUUCGUAAGUUAGCUUGUGAUGACAGCUGUCGGUUCCCAGCAGCUGACAAGCUAACAAGCUAAUGUUGUGACAGAAUGAAUGAGACUGAUCCUCAAGCAACACAAGCAACACAGCAUAUGGAGGCAACAAAGAAGAACACCCUUGUUCCUAGAUGUCAGAGAUCUGCAUGAAGGGUUCCAAGUGUCACUGCUCCAGGGUCACAACCUCUACUGCCUGGCCGUCCAGAGUGACAGUGUUGUCUAUGCGUGUGGCAACAGGUGCCAUGGCAACCUGGACAGGCCGGUUACCCUGUGCAAGGCUGGUCACUACAGUCUGAUACAUGCUGACUGGGAUCUGGACCAAACCUGAGGAAGAGAGCAGAAACGACAGCGACAGGAGGCCAUGUUCCCACCUGGAGCUGGAAAACAGAGACAAAAUGUUCCAGAGCCUGUGGAGCAGAAGGCAGCUCA